rnacentral:rRNA from 1 species
AUUGAACGCUGGCGGCAGGCCUAACACAUGCAAGUCGAGCGAGCGGCGGACGGGUGAGUAAUGUCUGGGAAACUGCCUGAUGGAGGGGGAUAAAUACUGGAAACGGUAGCUAAUACCGCAUACCAUCAGAUGUGCCCAGAUGGGAUUAGCUAGUAGGUGGGGUAACGGCUCACCUAGGCGACGAUCACUAGCUGGUCUGAGAGGAUGACCAGCCCCGCUGGAACUGAGACACGGUCCAGACUCCUACGGGAGGCAGCAGUGGGGAGUAUUGCACAAUGGGCGCAAACCUGAUGCAGCGAUGCCGCGUGUGUGAAGAGGGCCUGAGGGUUGUAAGGCACUUUCAGCGGGGAGGCGUUACCCGCAGAAGAAGCACCGGCUAACUCCGUGCCAGCAGCCGCGGUAAUUC